rnacentral:rRNA from 1 species
GACUAACGCUGGCGGCGUGCCUAACACAUGCAAGUCGAACGAGUUGUUUAAUAGUAGCAAUACCUUUAUUCAGCAAGUGGCGAACGGGUGAGUAACACGUAGAUAAUCUGCCUUUCAGACGGGGACAACCCAGGGAAACUUGGGCUAAUACCCGAUGAGACCACGUCCGGGGACGGAUGCGGCCAAAAGUGGGCUUCGGCUCAUGCUGAAAGAUGAGUCUGCGUCCUAUCAGGUAGUUGGUGGGGUAAAUGCCUACCAAGCCUAAGACGGGUAGCCGGCCUGAGAGGGUGAACGGCCACACUGGGACUGAGACACGGCCCAGACUCCUACGGGAGGCAGCAGUGAGGAAUUUUCCGCAAUGGGCGCAAGCCUGACGGAGCGACGCCGCGUGAGGGAUGACUGCCUUCGGGUUGUAAACCUCUUUUAUUAAGGAAAAAGGUUAGCGUGCUAAUACCACGUUAACU